rnacentral:misc_RNA from 1 species
UUCAUUCUUCAGCAAAAGUUAAAUAGGGCUAUGAGAAUAGUGGAGUGGAAGGAAGCUUAUGACCCAAAUAUUCCUGCCAACUAUGGAGUCAUUCAACACGAACAAGUAGGUCCAUCAGUUGAUCUCAUGGAACAAUCGGGAUUUGAAAAAGAGAAGCAAACCAUACUAGGGGCUGAUGAUGAUGAUGAGGAAGAGUUUGAUGACAUGAAAG